UUACGACCAUAUCAUGUUGAAACAUCGGUUCCUACACGAUCACCAAAGUUAAGCAACGUUGACCUUGGUAAAUAUCAAGAUGGGUGACCGCUUGGGAAUAACAGGUAGGUG